AGGUGCGAUCAUACUAUCACUAAUGCACCAGAUCGCAUCAGAACUCUGCAAUUAAGUGUGCUUGGGCGAGAGUAGUACUAGGAUGGGUCACCUCCUUUGAAGUCCUCGUGUUGCACCUC
rfam:Cajanus cajan Scaffold000318_1, whole genome shotgun sequence.